GGUGGCUCAGUGGUAGAGCACUUGGCUUGCAUGCAUGAGACCCUGGGUUCAAUUUCCCAGCACCA
rnacentral:tRNA from 1 species